GACAGAGGAUGCAAGCGUUAUCCGGAAUGAUUGGGCGUAAAGCGUCUGUAGGUGGCUUUUUAAGUCCGCCGUCAAAUCCCAGGGCUCAACCCUGGACAGGCGGUGGAAACUACCAAGCUGGAGUACGGUAGGGGCAGAGGGAAUUUCCGGUGGAGCGGUGAAAUGCGUAGAGAUCGGAAGGAACACCUGUGGCGAAAGCGGCUCACUGGACCAUUACUGACGCUGAGGCACGAAAGCUAGGGGAGCCAAACAGG
rnacentral:rRNA from 1 species